UUAGAUUCCAAUCCCCAGAUUAGAGAUGUAAUGCAACAUCCUGAGUUUAUUCGUCUGUUAGCUACACCUCUAGCUGUUAAUGUGAGGGUGAAGUAACUGCUGCUGGGGCAUUGGAGAGACUGAUAGAACUGUUUGUUGAACUUGCAACUCAUGCUGGGAUUAUUCAUGCAUCUGAAAGCACACUUCAAGCAAAUGAUCAAGCUGCUGAAAAGCGCCUUCUAUGAAAUUGUGGUCGAGUAAGUCUUCCCCUUUCCUAGUUUAUAUAAUGUGGAUGGGCACUAUGAAUCGUGGGAUACAGUGUAAAUAACCCAACCAUAUAUGCA